rnacentral:ncRNA from 1 species
CGCGACGGGGUAUUGUAAGUGGCAGAGUGGCCUUGCUACCACGAUCCACUGAGAUUCAGCCCUUUGUCGCUUCGCUUCGU